CCGCGGGGAGCCACCGGCGUGCACGAGCCGGUGGAGGCGGCGGUCGGGGCGCACGACGGAGCCGUGGGUUCGCAGCCGCUGACGUGCACGAGCUGGUGGAGGCGACCAAGAAUGGCGGCGGGCGCUGGCGAGAUCCGGAUCGGGCAGGGGGCGGGGGUGAGAUUCAUAGGUGAUGAGGAGGAGCGAGGAGGGCUCUGUUGUUUUUUUUUCUUUUUUGGGCGGUACAUGUUUUUUCUGUGCUUAAGUACCGCAGGUGCCGGGAUUAAAAGACGCGUUGGGACAGCGGUAGCAGAUUCAUAAUUUCGGUAAAGUGACGUACCGUGACGCCCGGCAUCACCACCAACUCCAAUUUAAUAUAUUGGUAUAAAUUUUACAAACAUGAAGUCCAUCAGGAGGAAUGUUUUGCCACCUGAAGCUAUUUAGGAGAAUUUCUUUCUGCAAUUUUAAGCUCUCUACCAUUCUUACCUUCACAAAUAAGCUAUCAAAAAUCUUUUUAUCACAAAUAUAAUGCAUUCUAUUCGUAAAGAGCAUCUUCACUCGUACCCCAUACGGCGUCCGGCCAUGCAUUUUUUGGGCCAUAUGGGGGAGCGCCGACUAAAAUUUGUGUUUUGGGGUUGAGCCGGUUCCCAGCC
rnacentral:lncRNA from 1 species